UUAAGUUCAGCGGGUAGUCCUACCUGAUCUGAGGUCUGAGUCAAAAGAUGGGGUUAUGAGCCACGUCAUGCUUCGGGGACGAAACUUAUUACGUCCACUGACACUCCACAGCUAAGGCAUUUAAGGCGAGCCAGAGGCAACGCCCAAGUCCAAUCCCAGGAAACCCGGAGGAUUGAGUCUACAUGACACUCAAACAGGCA
rnacentral:misc_RNA from 1 species